rnacentral:rRNA from 1 species
GCUCAGUACGGCGAGUGAGCGGCAAAAGCUCAAAUUUGAAAUCUAGCACCUUCGGUGUUCGAGUUGUAAUUUGAAGAUGGUAACCUUGGGUUUGGCUCUUGUCUAUGUUCCUUGGAACAGGACGUCAUAGAGGGUGAGAAUCCCGUCUGAUGAGAUGCCCAUUCCUAUGUAAGGUGCUAUCGAAGAGUCGAGUUGUUUGGGAAUGCAGCUCUAAGUGGGUGGUAAAUUCCAUCUAAAGCUAAAUAUUGGCGAGAGACCGAUAGCGAACAAGUACAGUGAUGGAAAGAUGAAAAGAACUUUGAAAAGAGAGUGAAAAAGUACGUGAAAUUGUUGAAAGGGAAGGGCAUUAGAUCAGACUUGGUGUUUUACGAUUAUCUUCUCUUCUUGAGUUGUGCACUCGUAUUUCACUGGGCCAGCAUCGAUUCGGAUGGCAAGAUAAUGGCAGUUGAAUGUGGCUUCACUUCGGUGGAGUGUUAUAGCUUCUGCUGAUAUUGCCUGUCUGGAUCGAGGGCUGCGUCUUUUGACUAGGAUGCUGGCGUAAUGAUCUAAUGCCGCCCGUCUU